CCUACGGGUGGCAGCAGUGAGGAAUAUUGGUCAAUGGGCGCGAGCCUGAACCAGCCAAGUAGCGUGAAGGAUGACUGCCCUCUGGUUUUUAAACUUCUUUUAUAUGGGAAUAAAAUGUUCCACGUGUGGGAUUUUGUAUGUACCAUAUGAAUAAGGCUCGGCUAACUCCGUUCCAGCAGCCGCGGUAGUACGGAGGAUCCGAGCGUUAUCCGGAUUUACUGGGUUUAAAGGGAGCGUAGGUGGAUUGUUAAGUCAGUUGUGAAAGUUUGCGGCUCAACCGGAAAAUUGCAGUUGAAACUGGCAGGCUUGAGUACAGUAGAGGUGGGCGGAAUUCGUGGUGUAGCGGUGAAAUGCGUAGAUAUCACGAAGAACUCCGAUUGCGAAGGCAGUUCACUGGACUGAAACUGACACUGAGGCUCGAAAGUGUGGGUAUCAAACAGGAUUAGAUACCCGAGUAGUC
rnacentral:rRNA from 1 species